rnacentral:tRNA from 1 species
GUAGCUCAGUUGGCAGAGCACCAAAAAGGCCGGUGGGCGUACCCAUAUCCGUGCCGGUUCCCGACCUGAUCGUUCGUCGGUCCUGUCGGUGGUACGGGUCGAGGCUGGUCGGUCAUCACUCAUGGUGGGUGCGGGUUCGAAUCCUGCCGGGC